AUACAGAGGGUGCGAGCGUUAAUCGGAAUUACUGGGCGUAAAGCGCGCGUAGGCGGCUUGGUCAGUCGGAUGUGAAAGCCCCGGGCUCAACCUGGGAAUGGCAUUCGAUACUGCCAGGCUAGAGUAUGGGCGAGGGAAGUGGAAUUUCCGGUGUAGCGGUGAAAUGCGUAGAUAUCGGAAGGAACACCAGUGGGGAAGGCGACUUCCUGGCCCAAUACUGACGCUGAGGUGCGAAAGCGUGGGGAGCGAACAGGAUUAGAAACCCUAGUAGUCC
rnacentral:rRNA from 1 species